GACGAACGCUGGCGGCGUGCUUAACACAUGCAAGUCGAACGGGCCUUGUCCCCUUUUUUUUUGGGGGUGGGGUUAGUGGCGAACGGGUGAGUAACACGUGAGUAACCUGCCCCUCACUUCUGGAUAACCGCUUGAAAGGGUGGCUAAUACGGGGUGUUCUGGCCUGCUCGCAUGGGUGGGUUUGGAAAGAUUCGACCGGUUUUGGUUGUUUUGGUGGGGGAUGGGCUCGCGGCCUAUCAGCUUGUUGGGGGGGGGAUGGCCUGCCAAGGCUUUGACGGGUAGCCGGCCUGAGAGGGUGUGCGGUCACACUGGGACUGAGACACGGCCCAGACUCCUACGGGAGGCAGCAGUGGGGAAUAUUGCACAAUGGGCGCAAGCCUGAUGCAGCGACGCCGCGUGAGGGAUGGAGGCCUUCGGGUUGUGAACCUCUUUCGCCAGUGAAGAAGGUCCUGCUCUUUGUGGUGGGGUUGACGGUAGCUGGGUUAAUGAAGCGCCGGCUAACUACGUG
rnacentral:rRNA from 1 species